AGCCUACCAGUGACAGUGGCAGGGGAUCCAGCUCUCAGCGCACUCCAAAAUCAACCACAAGAGCGGCCGGUUGCGCGCACUGAAUAAGUGGCGCUGACCAAAAACUUCUCUGAGGUGAAGGUUGAGAGGACGUUCAGCAAUGUAAGGGUGAAAACACGACAGCACUGUUGUAAUCAUCCCUAAAGCAAGCAUUACCAACGCAGGACAUUCAGAGUCAAGCGUACACUGAAAAGAACCCUAAACACAGUAAGGCUAGCAAGGCACACCCUUCAUUUUGUUAAACGUGAGCACCCAGGCCUCUUUUCUGUUCACCUGCAAUGUACGCUGAUCCCCCGCCUCCGUGGAAACAGAGCACCCGACGUCACCGGGUUCACCUCCGUGCAACGCUCUACUUAGCACAAGGCACUUGGACUGGUUUAGAGUAAAACCAAAGUGAAGUUUAUGCAACAGAGCAUGAGUUCCAGAUUCAAAUACAAGGCAA